CGGCGUUAGUACGAUUCUGAGUAUUACGGCAUCGACCCCUGAGACAGGUCUGGCUUGGCGCGAGGAUGGGUGAAAGCUGUUGGAAUUGUCAGUUGGCUGUGUCUUUCCUAUGUCUCAUAUUUAUCUUUAUAAGCUUUGACUCUAUAAGAAUUUGAACUCCCUGCUAUAUGUCUUCACACAUAUAGUAACGCAUCUCGCUGCAUAACUCUGAUGAAACUCUUUAUUUAA